GUGGGGAAUUUUGGACAAUGGGCGCAAGCCUGAUCCAGCAAUGCCGCGUGCAGGAAGAAGGCCUUCGGGUUGUAAACUGCUUUUGUACGGAACGAAAAGGCUCUGGUUAAUACCUGGGGCUCAUGACGGUACCGUAAGAAUAAGCACCGGCUAACUACGUGCCAGCAGCCGCGGUAAUACGUAGGGUGCAAGCGUUAAUCGGAAUUACUGGGCGUAAAGCGUGCGCAGGCGGUUUUGUAAGACAGACGGGAAAUCCCCGGGUUCAACCUGGGAAUGGCGUUUGUGACUGCAAAGCUGGAGUGCGGCAGAGGGGGAUGGAAUUCCGCGUGUAGCAGUGAAAUGCGUAGAUAUGCGGAGGAACACCGAUGGCGAAGGCAAUCCCCUGGGCCUGCACUGACGCUCAUGCACGAAAGCGUGGGGAGCAAACAGGAUUAGAAACCCGGGUAGUCC
rnacentral:rRNA from 1 species